ACAUGAAUCCCCUGGGGAUUUUGUUAAAUGCAGGUUUGACUCAGUGGGCCUAAGAGGUGGAGGCCUGAAAUUCUGUACUUCUACAAACUCCCAGGUGAUAUGGUG
rnacentral:pre_miRNA from 1 species